rnacentral:rRNA from 1 species
UACGGAGGGUGCAAGCGUUAUCCGGAUUCACUGGGUUUAAAGGGUGCGUAGGUGGGCAGGUAAGUCAGUGGUGAAAUCUCCGGGCUUAACCCGGAAACUGCCAUUGAUACUAUCUGUCUUGAAUACCGUGGAGGUGAGCGGAAUAUGUCAUGUAGCGGUGAAAUGCUUAGAUAUGACAUAGAACACCAAUUGCGAAGGCAGCUUACUGCGCGGUUAUUGACGCUGAGGCUCGAAAGCGUGGGGAUCAAACAGG